CGGCCGCGGUAUCCUGACCGUGCAAAGGUAGCAUAAUCACUUGUUCCUUAAUUAGGGACUAGAAUGAAUGGCUAAACGAGGGUUCAACUGUCUCUUACUUUCAAUCAGUGAAAUUGACCUUCCAGUGAAGAGGCUGGAAUACCCCAAUAAGACGAGAAGACCCUAUGGAGCUUUAAUUUACUAGUUUAGUUUAACCAAAAAUCAACCUAAUGGCUUAAAAACAAAAAAAUAUAAACUAAAAAAUUUCGGUUGGGGUGACCUCGGAGAAUAAAAGAACCUCCGAAUGAUUGUAACCUAGACUAACAAGUCAAAGUAACAUAAGUAUCUUAUUGACCCAAUUAUUGAUCAACGGACCAAGUUACCCUAGGGAUAACAGCGCAAUCCUAUUUAAGAGUUCAUAUCGACAAUUAGGGUUUACGACCUCGAUGUUGGAUCAGGACAUC
rnacentral:rRNA from 1 species